UGUCUUGCCCAAAAGCCAUUCCUGCUGGAAAAAGUCAAAAGGGUUCCUGGCAUUAAAACGACCUUGCGUCAUUCCUGAUGAAAUUAGCAGCGCUGCAUGUUUAGAGCUUUUCUAUGGAUGCACUUUGGUCACAGUAAGAAGUAAGAGAUUUGGGGUUUAACCCCCCCAUCUGUACAGGAGAUGUCUGCUUUCAUUAGCUGCGAAACCCGAGACUGGCACUCGAAAGCGCCUUAGACCUGCAGUCCAUUUUUUACUUGUCUUUAAGUGCAAGCGAUGGGAAUUGCUAACCUCGGCUAAGAAAAUUUCAUUUCCCCCAUCCUGCUAAACGGUUCUGGUCGACAUAUGUUUGUUAUCAGAGAGAGGUGCUAUGAACACAGAGCCAUUUUCUUAGCAGCUCUUUGACUCUGUGUUACCAUAGUCCCACACGGCAUUGGUCCUUUCCCGUUGGGAAGUCAUGAAUAAGAGACUAUGAAGCUUGCACGUCAGAUCUUCCUCAAUUAAUCCACCAUUAGCAUGUUUGGGAUCCUCUACUGGAUGGUUAACAGCAGCUUUGGUAACUGUAUGCUGUCCAUACCCAAUUAUGCUCUGCUAAAAAUGAACUCUGCAGAACAACCUUCCUGAGCUGUCAGUGUCUCCCGUUUUCCUAUUUUAACGCUUGUGUGUAGUGGCAGGCGACAGAUGGUGUAGAUCAGAUCGAUUUGAUUGCAUUAGGCGAUUUUUUUUUCCUCCUCUCCCCCCCGACUCCUCUUCUGGAAGCCCACAUUCAUCUGAGAGGCGAUCGCCGGGGACAUGGGAAGCAAGAGCAGCCGCCGAUGUGUGAAAGCAACGAGACAUGGCCAGCCAGAGGCGCCGGGGUCCCUUCCCGGGGUUUGUUAACAUGGUAAUCCGGCACCAGGAGAGAAAGCUGCUUUCUGCUGCCCAGAGCCCAUUCCCCAUCACACAUCAGAUGACUCCCUGGUUUUACACACAGUUGGAGUUCUGCUCGAAACCUGGAUUUAAAGGGAAUCUGUUGCCGCGUGUGACAUCCCUUGCGAGCUCCCAGAGAGAAUUGAUGGAGCAUACAGCUAGGGAAUAGGAUGCCAGAGAAGCACAGAGGAAGAAAGCAGGCAAUCGCCAGGAUGGGAAGGUUCAGCGUCCAUUGGAUAUGGGACGAGAUCACUCGGCACCCCUUGUGGAUUCUCCUUCUUCUAGAGGGGAAUUAUAGUUAUGGAUUUAUUGUCCCGGUGCAGCACUUCCAGCAGCAGCAGCCGCAGCAACAGCAGCAGCUUUCUGACUCUCUUCGGUGACGGGUAUUCUUGGGUGGAUAAUACGGAUUACGUUGUUAUUGCUUAAGAAUACGCGUAGUCGAGGAGAGUACCGGCGGCGGGCAGGCAGGCAGGCAGCGCGACCGCCCCCAGCCCACCAGCUGGCUCCUAACCUCCUCUAGUUGCCAAGCCGUCCAGCUUAAGUCUCCUGAACUAGCCCGUCUUCCUUCCUCGCAAUGCCAAAUGACCCAUGGAAAGCUGUAGAUCUUCAGUCUGUGGGGACAAUCUAACAUCGGCAACUUCUGGGGUUGCUGCUACAAGGUGAGCCUCGGACCCUGCCUACGCUCUGUGCUCCCAGACGUUGGCCCCACGACGGCAAACGGAGUGACGUCCGAGUCCCGCUUCCCCCGGCCGCGGCACUGGGUGUUUGCUGCUCCCGGAGCUGCCCGCGUGCUGCGGGACACCCAGCUGCCCGACACCUGACCCAGCUCGGCCGCUGGCGGGGACGCUGCUGGGGCCGGCUUCUCCCUGCUUGUUUCUGCCUGCCUGCCUUAUUCUUCUGAGUUAUGCCCCAGCCCACGCCCAUCCCGUUGUGCCACUGCCUCCGGGCUGUGUUGAGUUUUCAAUUAUCACAAUAUACAAUGCAGAUGAUAUGUAAAACAGCUCGUGUGACUUGAGCAGGCUGAGCUCAGUAGACAUACAGUUAAAUAAAAAGUACUGCUAUAAUACCAGGAGGCUGAUUGGAACCACAAGACACCGGUGUCAUAUCCUGCGGCUUUUAUGUUGGUAGAUGUAGAUUUUAGCCAUUAGAGCCUAGCUAUCCAACAGAUAACAACCGGAGGAAAUGGAUCUGGGUAUCUUCAGUUAUGAAUAACUGAUACACUUUCGCCAAUAAAUGGAGGACCUGGUAAACUGCCAGAAGAAAAAAAUCUUUUCAGAUACCUACAAAUAUAAUCAGGCAUGUAGUAUGUGGUAGCAUCUAACUAAGUAUAACUUGAAGAAACUCCCCAAUUGCUCACAAUACAUUUAAAAUGGUACAUCAAGAGAGCUCUGACCUCAGAGAACCAAUGUGUGGUUACAUUGUCAAUUCCAAAUUCAGAUAAGGAAAUAAAUAGCAAGCGUAGGUCUCAUGUAUCUGUACAAGCAGUAACAAACCCCCUUUGUCAGGUUUCAUGAUAUCUAGGUGGAGGUAAAAUGCUAUGACGAAAGAGGGAGAAAUAAGCAAAAAAUACAAUAAUGUAAAAUGUGCCUGUUACUAACUUCUGGAAAAGCUCAACAGCUAGAACUUUAGAAUGUGGUAUGUAGGCAAAUGUAAAGAGAGCAACACAAUAAGUGUGUUUUUCUCCAGAGCAAAAUGAAAUAGGUAUACAGAGCAAAUUAUAAUAUUUAGUACUUUCAGGGCAAAUUCUAGUUGAGGAUCAUGAAGUAAUUUGAAAAUAUUAAUAAAUUAGCCUCACAGCUAGCUUUCAGGUAGAUAAUAAUGAUAAUUAUUACUAUAAAUAAAUAUUAUUAUUAUUAUCAUUCUUGCUCCAAAGAAAUGAAAAUUGAGGCAUAGAGUAUUUAUGUAUUUGUCCAAAGUCUGUGUUUUACUACUGUAACCAUCCUUCUCUAGAACUAUUAUAUAUCAAAGUUUACCUUUUUCCAAAUACUGUGUGCAAUACACUAUUCAGCUUAUGAGCUCUAAAAACCAACCAGCUGAGCUUCCUUAUGAAACAGUGCCUGUGAACAUCUCCAUUUGCAUUUGAAUUCUCAAGCAGCGACAAUCCUGCUUAAAAAAAAUAUAAAUAAAAAAGGAAUCAUGAGAAUCAGUACAAAAUCUGUCAAGGCCCCAUCUGUGACUGGGUAUCAGAAUAUCGCUAAGAAGCUCUGAGGAACAAAGUUCAUUCCAAGUCUAACACAUAGUGCUUUUUGCUAGAUGAAAUUAAUUCAAGCAGGGUGAAAUGAGGGCACAUACCAUGAAAAUCUCUGUUCCUCCACUGAGGAGUGAAGGAAAGCAGCAUCUCUGCUGUGUGUGUGGUCUUGGUUUUGGUACAUGUAGCUGUGCUUAAAUACUAAAGGUUUUACACCGCAAAAUACUCAGUGUGCUCACGUCUCCUUUUCAUGGCCACGUAUACCUGCUGCUUCUCUGAGGAGUGUCAGGGAAUGAGUGAUCUCUGGUCCUGACAAGAUGAGGACUUAGAUUAUGUAUGCUUGUUGCAAAAAGCAAGCUUUCAUAGCUAGCUACCUGAAGUAGUAUGGAAACAAAAUGAUAGACUCCACCCUGGCCUUGAAAAUACCCCUACAAACAUGUUUAUUUCCUUCUGAAUGGGAAUUUAUAAAGGGUAGGGGCACUUAUUUGUAGGCUAUUUAUAUAGCUCCUCUUCAGGAUCUGAAUUCCUAAAAGUCUUGGCCAUGGCUUUUUGCUCUCACACAUGCAAUAUUUGAAAUUAACUAAGGAAAUAGGAGAACCACAGCAUUAACACCAUUCUAAUGCACUGUAUUAUUUUUCUUUCCCUUUUUUAACCAUUAGAGUAUGCAAAUGUUCAGUUAACUGGUCCUCAUGUUUCCUCUUUAUUGAAUUGCUUUCACUAUGGCAAAUAAAUAUUCAUAAAGAAAUGUGGACAAUAAAUCAUUUCAAAUAGUUCAAAGCCAUUUUCUUUCUAGACUGCAUAUAUAUUCAGCUGUGACUCGCCUUUAAUAUUUCAUUCAAAAGGGAGACUUGUAGAAGGACAAUAGAGAUAAUGUGUCAAGCAGUAAUUAAAACAGGGCGUAAUGAUUAAAACCAUUUUGAUCUACACUGUGCUCUGUCAAAUUCAUAAUCUCCUGUGUUUGUUAAGAUGACUUUCUACUUGCUUUAUACAGAAACUCAAAAUAAACUUCUGUUUGAAGACACUGUACAGAACAAAAGAUUUCAACCCUGAGUUUGUGGAGUCCAGAGCCCUUCUCAGCUCUGGAGUUUAGGUAUAUCUUCUGUACCAUCCUAGCAAGAGAAACUCAGGCAGGCACUGUCCCUCCUGCUGAUAUUGUGACUUCUCUGGGAAGUAGAUCCAGGUGCAGGGCAGAAGACAACCAAGGGCCACCCCAAUGUGUAUAGGCACAUGUAAGCUGUCUCACCAUUUAGAUUUCAGCUAAGAGCUCUAACAGAAAUGAAAGUUAAAGAUCUGGUUAGCUUACACAUUUGGGGAUCUUGGUUUAAAUCCAAGUAACAAUGAUGUUCCUUGUCUCAUUAUAUGCAUUUUGGCUACUAAUACACAUAUUUGGCCCAAACUCACUAUCUUUCCUGAUUUGUUGCUGACUUUAGUCCCAGAUUGAACAGAGCACUUACAUACAGACUUAAAUAAAUUGAUUUAGGAAAGCA